CGCCGCAGCUUCUAUCGCUCACGCCCACGCGGAGCUCCCUUCCUCAAUCGCCUAUUCCCCCACGCCGCCCUCAAAAUCGGGAGGAUCCAUAGCACGCCGUAGUUCCUCUCAAACAGGCCCGAUGCCCUCCUCCCCAUUCCUCCCUCUCGCCCAACCGGAGUUCGCAACGUCGUUCAUGCUGGACCUGCCCCUUCGCUCGUUCAUGGUGAGCUCGCCCCUUCCUCUCUCAAUCCCUCUCCUCGCCUCUUGCCAUACUCGACAUGGCGCUAACUCGACGUACCUGGAGCCCGGCCGAACCAGCCGAACAAAGCCCCUCCCCAGGCGAAGCCCGGCGCCCCGGCACGGUGGCCAGCGGCGUGGCCGGCUAGCCGCCCCUACUUCCUGGCGUGCACACCUCGGCCUCGCUUGUGCCCAAGGCGUGCUCCCCAGCCACCCUCUCUCCUCUACUGUGCUGCUGUAGGCACAACCAACUCCAUGGUUGCUGCUGUUACUCCAAGCCUGAAGCCCCACCCGACGCGGCCCCUGCCCACGACGAGCUAGCCCCUGCACGCGGCCCCCAGAGCAGCUGUCGUCGCCGUCAGCCCUAUCCUCCGUUGAGCUACCACAGACAAGCCCGCCCCGCCGUGUGUGCCCCCUGCGUGAUCCGGUUUUUGUGAUGUUGCAAUUCGUGCACGGAGCCAAGGAGAGAGGAGAAACCGUUCGUGCGUGAUAUUGAAGAAGAAACUGUAGUGGCCCCACCUGCAGUUUUUUUAUUAUUACUUUUUAUUUCCUUUCCCCACGAUGAAGUAUGCACGUAGUUGAAUGGCUCACCACUCACGUAGAAAAAGAUUUGUGCAGGUUUGAUUGCGGCCACGAUUUUGUGGUACUCCUUGUUGUUUCGGCUCAGCCAACUAAAAUACGCUACCUCUUCUUAAAUACGCGAACUAGUAAAUAUUCAAUAUAUAUUUUACGUCGUAGAUCCAUUUUGUCUCGUUCCAGUUGUGUUAGAUUUGUAACGACAUGUUAAUAAUAUUGUUUCAUCGUUUCACGUAUUUUAGCUAAUUUAUUUUUAGUAUAAAAACAACAUUUAGUUAGUGAUUCUCGCAUGUUCGCGUUCUGCUUCGUGCAUCACGCGUCGCUCACGUAUGUCGCGUGUUGUCCGCGCCUACCCGCCUGUACUGUUCGCGUACGCUGUCACCGCCCAUUCCACGCGUGUCACGUGUUGUGCUCUAUUCUACGAGUAUCGUGAGUUCGAUCCGUACGACGUUCGCGCGUGCUGUUCACGUGUCGUCGUUCGUGCGAGUCGCGAUUCGCGCGCUUUAAUAAAAUUGUUUAUUCGUCACGAAUUGGUAACUAUUCAAUAUAUAAUGCACCAUAAACCUGUUUCUAUUUGUUUCAGUCAUGUCAACUUUGUAGCAACACCGAUUUCAUAUUAGUAACGUACUUUAUCAUGUCACAAGUUUUACUUAUUUAAUUAGUUGUUCAUUCGACACUUAUUAAAUAAAAUGACCUUCUAAUUAAAAUUAGUUUAUAUUUUUAACUCGCACUUUUAUAAAUAUAAAUGUUAACUCGAUGAAUAUCAACUUAAAUGCUUCUCAGUUAAUACUUGUUUAGUAUAAUCGUGUUAUCUGUUAGUGAUUAUCAAGCGUCGUCGCAUUGUCUGCGCGUUGUACGCGCGUGAUGUGCUGGUGGUCGCGUGUCGUGGUGCUGUUUGCGCGUGUCGCGCACCGUCGUUUGCGUGCGUCGCAUGUGCCAUUUACCCGUAUCGCUUGUCGUGCCAUGCGUCGGCGCGCAUCACGCGUGUCGAUCACGUGGGUCGCGCGACAUCUACGCUUGAUAAUAAAUUGUUUUCGCCUACAAACACUCAUGUUAAUAAUGGUAAUUCAUUAGGUCACAUAUUUUAGAUAAUUAACUUAGGGUUUGCUCGACUAAUGUCUAUUAGAUUUAUUUUCCAAUUAGAUUUAAUGUGUAGCGUUCAACUUGCGAUUUUAUAAUAAACAUUAACAUGGGUAAUAUUACCUUAAAUAUCUUUAUCUAUUUAAUCUUUGUUUAGUAUAAACGCGUCUCCUAUUUAGUUCUCUCGCCUGUCGCGCGUGCUGUUCCACACGUGGUGGCGUGCUGGUUCGCACGUCAUUCGCGUUGGUCGCGCGCACUAUUUUCAUGCGUCGUCAGCGUGUUUGCACGUCGUUUCGCACGCUGUCGCAUUGUUCCGCUCGUCGUAAAUUUGCCCCGCUUAGAAUCUCUCGUUUUAAUUAAAUUACUUAUUUGUAACUAACGAUUGUUGGUGUAGCAGAUUAAUCGAAACUAGAUAGUCGUUAUAAUUAAUAUGAUUAUGUCGAAUUAAAAUACUCUAAUUAAUACUUGUUUAGCAUAAACGCGGUACCUUCUCGACCGUAGCUUCAGCCGUCGCGUUUCUUAUUCCCGCGUAACCGUAGAAGUGCUCUCUAUUUUUAUAUUGCUCGUUUUGAUAAUAUUUUAUCUUGUAUGGUGUAAUGUUCUUAUGCAAAUAUAUGUUUCCUUGUGCCUGUUUGUAUUCGUUGCACGUCGUGAAUAGAUUGCGAUCUAUUCCUGAGCUUCGAGGAAUCGACGAUCAAUAUUUGGUGAACCGCUGGUGCCGAGAUCAAGUUCUUCGAGUUCUACGGGGUUGAAGACCCUGAGCAUAUGUUUGGUAAAGGCAAGUGUCCUCUGACCCAUUAUGUCCCAUUUACUUUAUAAUACACUGUCCCGCAUACUAUGAACAACCUAAGGAUUUACUAGCUUUCUAUUUACCUUGUCCUUGAUUUACCUUUUGGGUUACUAUGGUUAGCUACAUGCUAGCGCUUUACUUUAAUCAAUGAACAUGAUGAGAUACAAUGAUGAUACUAUGAUUUUAUUCUGGAUAUGAUGAUAUACUUGUGGCAUUUAGGGGACUCGGGCUGUUUCCCGAGUACCUCUCCGUAAGGACCUGUUCGUUGAGAGACCACCCGGGAUAACAGUGCAACCAUGAGGGUGAAAUGGGAUGCCCUUAGCUAAUUAAUUAGAGGAACUAGAGGUGUUGUUGCUUCGCCGUCGUGCCGUCAAUGGGGUCCAGGCACAAUGCUUGCUCUGCCGAGGCUGAGUGUCGAUGUUCUUUCGUUUUGCUUUUGUUAGUCACCCUCCUGCGGGGAGAGGUACUGUGUUUAUCAAACUGGAGAAACCUAACGGGUGGCUAGUACCUCUAGGGAAUCCUUGUAAAGGCUACGUAGUGAUACCCUGUCGGACCACCUAGGAAGUGAUCAAUGGGGAGUCAUGAUCCCCGGGCAAAAUGAGAAUCACGGCUCAUGGGUAAAGUGUGCGACCUCUGCAGAGGGUAAUGAAACUGAUAUAUCAGCCGUGCUCACGGUUAAGAGCAGCCUUGGGAUCCUCUUUGAUUAGAAAUACUCUGGAUACGCCUCAGAUGAUGACUUUAGUGAUGAUGGUUAAUGAUAGUGACUUAUGAUGGUGACUUUAAUUAUGAAUUCUAGUAUUUCCUCUCUGAGGAGGUACUUUUUGGGAUUAUAACUUGGGUUUUAUGAUAAAAUCUGGCUUCUACUAACAAUAAAUAUCUGACCAACUAAAAGCAACUGCUUGAGCCUAACCCCACAUAAAAAGCUAGUCCACUUCAGCCAAACAGGGCAUUUGCUGAGUACGUUGAUGUGUACUCAUCCUUGCUUUACCACAAAACACCAGGUUGUCCACAUUGCAACCACUGCUCAGGAGAAGAUGAAGCCAUGGAAGGAGACUUCCAGGAGUUCCAAGACUACGACGAGUUCUAGGUGUGGGUUGGCGGCAACCCCCAGUCAGCUGCCUGUGAAGGCCCUAUCUUUACUGCGUUUCGCUUAGCACUUUGAUUUACCCGUUAAGUUAAUGACUAUGUGGAUGUCUCUGACUCUGUGAUGUAAUAAGUUAAUACUCUUUUAUGUUAUUAUUCGAGCACUAAGUGAUGAUGUUCAUUUAUGUAAUCGCUGUGUACAUGAAUUCUGAUCCUGGCACGUACAUAGUUCGCAUUCGGUUUGCCUUCUGAAACCGGGUGUGACAGAUCGUAACCUCGCGCAUGAUUUCUCUCAGACAAUGCGCGAUUCUGAUUAUUUUGCCCUGAACAUUUUAGUCUUCAAGUUCAAAUUAAUCUGCUCGAGAUAAAAAUCGUAAGAGUUGGUCGAGCUUCCGAAUUCGUAUUCACGCGAGUGAUGAAUUUUAAAUAAUCACCGGACGCACCGAUUUUCGGAACGACUAUGUUCCGAAUAUCACGAAAAUUUAGGAAGAGCCCGGAUAAAUAAAAACGAGGUCGAACUCGCGACAGACGAAACAGAUUAAGACAGAGAGACUGUUAUUCAUCGCUAUCAUGUGUUAAAGUCCACACUCGUGGUCGAGCAGACGAUAAACACCUGGGGUGUUACAGCCCUCCCCCUUA
rnacentral:lncRNA from 1 species